AAAAGCUGAGCAGUAGUGUAUAUAGAGAAGGAACCCCCCCCUGAGAGAUGAGAAACUUGGGAAAGGACUGAUACACGCCUGAUAACAGAAGAGGGGCUACGCAGAGGACACGAAAAGGAUCUCCAGGUUCUGCCUCCUCAACCCAAACGACCCCUCACCGGAAAUCCCACCUCACCAACGAGCUCCCUCACCACCACAAAAAAGAAAACACACACACUGUCAAGCACACGAACAGAUUCGGAGCUGAGAUAUUAGAAACGGUUUGAGGUCGUCGUUCCGUCGCCGAUUCAAGAUUCACCAUUGGUUCGCUGUCUCGGUUUCAUUUCUGUUGUUGUGUAGCUGAUUCAGUUUGACUUAUUUUCCAUUUAUGUAGUCGUUUGAAGAGAUUCCGGGAAGAAUUAAUUGAAGUUUCCCAUUCAGGUUCAUUUCUUUGCCCUCUUUGAUCUUAUUCAUGGUGUGAUUAAUUAUAUAUGAUAGGUGUUCAUGGUUUAAGUUGCUCUGUUGCGUUGUAAGUAGCUAGAUCAUAUUUUGUUUUGCUUGAUUUGUUUCUAUGACCUUAUGAAUGUUUGGAAUACGGAUAUGGAGAUUUAAGGUCACUCGAUGUUACUAGAUGAUCCUUUACUGUGAUGUUUUUUGUUUUACUCUUUUCUCUGUUUUGGCUAUAGUACUUGUUUGGUUUUUAUGUCUUAUAUUGUAUGCGGAGAACUAUAACAGCAAAAAAUAUUUGUAUUUUAGCAUGCUGCCACUCUUAUAUGAAAGAAAUAAUAGCAGAUUGCACCUAAAGGUUUCCUUCUGUGGUGCUAAUGUAAUGUAAAAAUGAAGAUGUUUUCAGUAAUUCCGUCCUUUCCAAAUGAUUCGGUAGAAAGUUUAGUUGCCUAAUAUUCUGCUUUUGUAGUUUUAUGCGAUAUGAUUUUUCCCAUAUGCUUGUUUUCGGAUCUGUUAAGUUAGUGAAUUUGUUAAUUUCUCUUACGUUUCGUAUUGUUGGUUAAAUGGUCCUUUGAAUUAGUUAAGAAUAAGUUGGGGCAUGCCGAGCCAAGCAAAAUUUUCAAAUGCAUGGCCCUCGUGUUAAUGUAGAUAUAAAAUUGAUUACUAUUAGUAGCUAGCCUUCAGGACCGUUU
rnacentral:lncRNA from 1 species